UACGUAGGGUGCGAGCGUUGUCCGGAAUUAUUGGGCGUAAAGGGCUCGUAGGCGGUCUGUUGCGUCGGGAGUGAAAACUCGGGGCUUAACCCCGAGCCUGCUUCUGAUACGGGCAGACUAGAGGUAUGCAGGGGAGAACGGAAUUCCUGGUGUAGCGGUGAAAUGCGCAGAUAUCAGGAGGAACACCGGUGGCGAAGGCGGUUCUCUGGGCAUUACCUGACGCUGAGGCACGAAAGCUAGGGUAGCGAACGGG
rnacentral:rRNA from 1 species